CUAUCAACAGUCUGAAGGAUGUCCUCGAUUUUAUUAUAUAUUUGGUCCUAAUCAUCGAGGUGAUUCUGAACAACAUGGCCCAUGGCUUGGGCACACUCUGCGUGAGACUGGUGGCCGUCAUCAUCAAGAUUGCCGUCUGCGUCAAGGGAUGCCCUGGUGACAAGGGCAUUUGCACUAAGGCCUGGAACCAGAGGUUCAAGAUCGACGGAGACGGCUCCAACGGCGCUGAGCUCAUCAGGGUCUUCUACCUGUCCAAG